UGUUUGAUAUAUUAAAGUUCCAACGGUAAAAGAUGAGUAUGCGUCCCAUUAGCUAGAUGGUAAGUAACGGCUUACCAUGGCAAUGAUGGGUAGGGGGUCCUGAGAGGGAGAUCCCCCCACACUGGUACUGAGACACGGACCAGACUCCUACGGGAGGCAGCAGUGAGGAAUAUUGGACAAUGGGCGCAAGCUGAUCCCAGCCAUGCCGCGUGCAGGAAUAAGGUCCUAUGGAUUUGUAAACUGCUUUUAUACAGGAAGAAACACACCCUCGUGAGGGUACUUGACGGUACUGUAUGAAUAAGGACCGGCUAACUCCGUG
rnacentral:rRNA from 1 species